rnacentral:rRNA from 1 species
GGCAAUCAAGUGAGGGAGCAGGCGCGCAAUUACCCACUCCUGACACAGGGAGGUAGUGACAAGGAAUAGCAAUGCAGGUGGCAAUUGCCAUUGUGCUAUUGGAAUGAGUGGACUUUAAAUCCCUUUUCGACUAUCGAUUGGAGGGCAAGUCUGGUGCCAGCAGCCGCGGUAAUUCCAGCUCCAGUAGCGUAUAUUAAAGUUGUUGCGGUUGAAAAGCUCGUAGUUGGGUUUCUGCGGAGGAAGCGCGGUCCGCACUUGGUGCGUGUAUCUGGUCUACCUACGCAUCUUCCAGUGAAACGCUACUGCGCUUUAUUGCGUGGCGCGGCAAUCUGGACUUUUACUUUGAGGAAAUUGGAGUGUUUACAGCGAGCGAUUGGUUUGAACAUAUUAGCAUGGAAUAAUAACCUAGAACCUUGGUUCUAUUUUGUUGGUUUCUAGACUAGGGUAAUGAUCAAUAGGGAUAAUUGGGGGCAUUUGUAUCAACACGUCAGAGGUGAAAUUCUUGGAUUGUGUUACGACGAACCACUGCGAAAGCAUUUGCCAAGGAUGUUUUCAUUGAUCAAGAACGAAAGUGCAGGGAUCGAAGACGAUUAGAUACCGUCGUAGUCUGCACCGUAAACUAUGCCGAUUAAAGAUUGGAGGUCGUUCUUAUUGUGGCUCCUUCAGUAAUUUAUGAGAAAUCAAAAUUCUUGGGUUCCGGGGGGAGUAUGGUCGCAAGGCUGAAACUUAAAGGAAUUGACGGAAGGGCACCACCAGGAGUGGAGCCUGCGGCUUAAUUUGACUCAACACGGGGAAACUCACCAGGUCCAGACAUAGCAAGGAUUGACAGAAUGACAGCUCUUUCUUGAUUCUGUGGGUGGUGGUGCAUGGCCGUUCUUAGUUGGUGGAGUGAUUUGUCUGGUUAAUUCCGUUAACGAACGAGAUCUUAUCCUGCUAAAUAGGAACGUGUGUCUUCGGACAUGCAGGUUGCUUCUUAGAGGGACUUUGCGAAUUGAAGCGUAGGGAAGGUUGAGGCAAUAACAGGUCUGUGAUGCCCUUAGAUGUUCUGGGCUGCACGCGCGCUACACUGAUGCGUUCAACGAGUAUGCCUUGUCCGGCAGGACUGGGGAAUCUUGUGAAAGCGCGUCGUGAUGGGGAUAGAACACUGUAAUUAUUGUUCUUCAACGAGGAAUUCCUAGUAAGCGCGAGUCAUCAGUUCGUGUUGAUUACGUCCCUGCCCUUUGUACACACCGCCCGUCGCUCCUACCGAUGGAGUGGUCCGGUGAAUAAUUCGGAUCGAGAUCUGAAGCUCACGCUUCAAUUUUCGAAAAGUUUAGUAACCCUAUCCCCAAG